AGAAUCAACGCUGGCGGCGUGCCUAACACAUGCAAGUCGCACGAGAAAGGGACUUCGGUCCUGAGUACAUUGGCGCACGGGUGAGUAACACGUGAAUAAUCUACCUCCGAGUGGGGAAUAACUGAGAGAAAUCUUAGCUAAUACCGCAUAACACUUACGAGUCAAAGCAGCAAUGCUCUUGGAGAGGAGUUCGCGGCAGAUUAGUUAGUUGGCGGGGUAAUGGCCCACAAGACGAUGAUCUGUA
rnacentral:rRNA from 1 species